AGUGACCAUAGGGACUUCUCAGUCCCAGCAACUUAUUCCCUCUAUAUUUCACCAUUCAAGACAACUGCAAUCUUACUGGCCAUUGGGACUUUUUAGUCAUGAUGUUUACUGAUUUUUAGUGUAGUGUUCGUUCGCCAGGUGGCAGCUUUGAAUUUCAGACCAGCUGUUCUCUGGAGUCGUACAGGACGGUUUGCUUCUUGUUGAGUGGUGGAUUUUGUUUUGUUUAUAUCUGGAUGUAUUGUAAAGGUAAGUUCAUAAUCUCUUCAUAUUAUCAAUAUCUUAUUAUUCUACAAAUGCAAUAAUGUUUUAUAGAAAAAUUAUAUCAAAUAGGGAAAAAGAUACAGAUCAAUAAGUAUUUGGGACUUUUCAGUCCCUAUGGGCAGUUCUUGCAAGAAUAUAGUUAGGUUAGCUCAUAGGCCCACUAUUGAUUCUAAAUUCAGUUGGGAGUGUAUGUAUCAAAAUAUAGAUAGUAUUAGAGAUAAUUUCUUUAUAAAACUAUAUUUUUAUGUUACUGGUUUGUUCCAGAUAAUUUUGAGGACUAUAAAUAUUUUGAAUGAGCUUGAAAUAAUUGAAGUAUUCCAUGAGCUGCCAGAUGAUAACAGUUCUGACACUGAUAAAAAUAAUAAAAUAGAAAAUGUAUUGGAUAUAAUUUCCAUAUAAAACUAUAUUUUAUGCUACUGUACUGGUUUGUUUCAGAUAAUUAUGAAGCCUAUAAAUAUUUUGAAUGAGCUGGAAAUAAUUGAAGCAUUUGAAGAGCUGCCAGAUGAUAACAGUGUGGACACUGAUAUCGAAGAUUAUGAUGAAGUAGAACAUGUUGAGGAAGUUGUGAAUAAUUUUGAUCUCAUCUUUCAACAAGAAAUUGAUGCUGCAGCUGUCAACACAAAUAAUGACAAAGAUGAUGAUGAUGAUGAUGAUGCAGAUAAUUUGUCAAUCACAGGAGUUUGUGCCAGCAUUUCUCCAAUUAUUGAAGAUCAGGCUGAUAUUGGUGAUCCAGAUCAGAUUGAUGGUCCAUCCACUUCUUCAGUCCCAUCCAAGCCUGAACCUAAAAAAAGGCUAAGCAAAAAAUUGCAAAAAAGAAAUCUGCGAGAAAAUCUGGUGGAAAGAAAACUACACAUCAGAGAAAAUCAACAGGAAAAAGAGUAGAGCCUGAUCGCAGAUGGAAACAACAGGAAGCUACAACUGUGAUUCCUGACUACUUGGGAAAGAAACCAGGUCCAGUUGAUGGUAUUUUUGAGUCUUCUUCAUCAGCCACCGAUGUAUUUCUGGCAACAUUCGAACCAGCCUUGGACAAUAUUAUCUACCAGAGCAACUUGUAUGCUACACAGAAAGGAAAAAACUUGCAGCUUGAGGCCGAUGAACUGCUCUCAUUUAUUGGAAUUAAUUUUUUCAUGGGCUACCAUGUUAUUCCAGGAUGGAAGAACUAUUGGUCAACAAGUCUGGACCUUGGGAUACCAAUUGUGGCAAAUACAAUGAGUCGAAACAGGUUUGACAUGAUAUUAUCAAAUCUGCAUGUGAAUGACAAUACUUUUAUACCACCACCGGGGACUGACAAAAUUUAUAAAAUUCGUCCUCUGGUAGACUCACUGAACGACCACUUCAUCAAGAUUUAUAAUGUGGGCAGAGAUGUAUCUGUUGAUGAGUCCAUGAUCCUUUUCAAGGGUCGUAGUACUCUGAAACAAUACAAUGCUAUGAAACCCAUCAAGCGUGGGUACAAACUAUGGUGCCUGGCUGACAAGAAGGGUUACAUUUCAAAGUUUGAGAUCUACCAGGGGAAAUCUGUUUCUCCUUUAUGUGAUGAGAGCUUGAAAGAAUUUGGGCAACGUGAGAAAAUUGUUUUGCACCUUACAAAACCGUAUUGGGGAACAAACAUUAGAGUUUUCUUCGAUAAUUAUUAUACCUCAAUUCCUCUUUUAGAGAAAUUGAAGGUGGAAAAAGUAUUAGCUUGUGGGACAAUCCAAGCAAAAAGAGUAGGUCUACCACACUUUGUUGAGGAUUCCAAAUUGAAGAGAGGAGAUUCAGACGAUUGGGUUUCAGGAUUGAAUAUAUCUGCCUUCAAGUGGAUGGACAACAGGGCAGUUCUGUUUGCUUCAAAUUACCACGGGACAGAACAUUCAAGAGUGAAAAGGAGGAACGAGAAUGGUGAAAGAGUUGAAGUGACUUGCCCACUCGUGGUAAAAGACUAUAAUCAAAAUAUGGGAGGAGUAGAUUGUGCUGAUCAGCUCCGUCAAUACUAUAAUGUAAAUAGACGAUCCCGGAAAUGGUGGCACCGACUAUUUUGGGGAAUAGUGGACAUAACAUUUGUCAACUCAUUUGUCAUUUAUAAGGAUCUAUUCCCCAAUGACAGAAAAAGUUUGCUGGAUUCUAGGAGGGAGGUGGCUCUGGGUUUGAUGUCUAAGAAACAAAAAAUAAAUCUGGCAAAACGAAAACGGUCAAAUGAAGUGCCCACCACCUCAAGAAAUGCAAUGCAGCAACCAAAAAGUUGUCAACAAAGGUGGUCAGUUCCUAAUGAUGUAAGAUUAGGUGAC
rnacentral:misc_RNA from 1 species